rnacentral:rRNA from 1 species
CCUACGGGAGGCAGCAGUGGGGAAUAUUGGACAAUGGGGGGAACCCUGAUCCAGCGACGCCGCGUGAGUGAAGAAGUAUUUCGGUAUGUAAAGCUCUAUCAGUAGGGAAGAAAAUGACGGUACCUGACCAAGAAGCCCCGGCUAACUACGUGCCAGCAGCCGCGGUAAUACGUAGGGGGCAAGCGUUAUCCGGAUUUACUGGGCGUAAAGGGAGCGUAGACGGUGCAGUAAGUCUGAUGUGAAAGUUCGGGGCCCAACCGCAGGACUGCAUUGGAAACUGUUAAACUGGAGUACAGGUGAGGUAAGCGGAAUUCCUAGUGUAGCGGUGAAAUGCUUAGAUAUUACGAGGAACACCAGUGGCGAAGGCGGCUUACUAGACUGUAACUGACGUUGAGGCUCGAAAGCGUGGGGAGCAAACAGGAUUAGAUACCCCUGUAGUC